rnacentral:rRNA from 1 species
UACGAAGGGGGGCUAGCGUUGUUCGGAAUUACUGGGCGUAAAGCGCACGUAGGCGGUUUUGUAAGUCAGAUGUGAAAUCCCCGGGCUUAACCUGGGAACUGCGUUUGAAACUACAAGGCUAGAGUGUGGCAGAGGGGGGGUGGAAUUCCGACGUGUAGCAGUGAAAUGCGUAGAGAUGUGGAGGAACACCGAUGGCGAAGGCAGCCCCCUGGGUUAACACUGACGCUCAGGCACGAAAGCGUGGGGAGCAAACAGG